rnacentral:rRNA from 1 species
UGCCAGACUCCUACGGGAGGCAGCAGUCGGGAAUAUUGCGCAAUGGAGGAAACUCUGACGCAGUGACGCCGCGUAUAGGAAGAAGGUUUUCGGAUUGUAAACUAUUGUCGUUAGGGAAGAAAAAAGACAGUACCUAAGGAGGAAGCUCCGGCUAACUACGUGCCAGCAGCCGCGGUAAUACGUAGGGAGCAAGCGUUAUCCGGAAUUACUGGGUGUAAAGGGGGCGCAGACGGCAGCGCAAGCCAGGAGUGAAAGCCCGGGGCCCAACCCCGGGACUGCUCUUGGAACUGCGCGGCUGGAGUGCAGGAGGGGCAGGCGGAAUUCCUGGUGUAGCGGUGAAAUGCGUAGAUAUCAGGAGGAACACCGGUGGCGAAGGCGGCCUGCUGGACUGCGACUGACGUUGAGGCCCGAAAGCGUGGGGAGCAAACAGGAUUAGAUACCCGUGUA